AAACCCAAACACUCGUCUAAAGAGGAGCAGAACGGAGAGCAGAUACAGUCAGAUGAGCAUCAGCAGGGGUCUGCACUCUCCAGAGGACUGAAAUGUGAAGCUGGAGACGGUGACCUGAA